rnacentral:rRNA from 1 species
GAUGAACGCUGGCGGCGUGCUUAACACAUGCAAGUCGAACGAGAAAUGUAGACGGAAACCUUCGGGCGGAAGCCUUCAUUUCGAGUGGCGGACGGGUGAGUAACGCGUGGGUAACCUGCCUCAUACAGGGGGAUAACAGUUGGAAACGACUGUUAAUACCGCAUAAGACCACAGCAUCGCAUGAUGCGGGGGUAAAAACUCCGGUGGUAUGAGAUGGACCCGCGUUCGAUUAGCCAGUUGGCGGGGUAACGGCCCACCAAAGCGACGAUCGAUAGCCGAUCUGAGGGGAUGACCGGCCACAUUGGGACUGAGACACGGCCCAAACUCCUACGGGAGGCAGCAGUGGGGAAUAUUGCACAAUGGGGGAAACCCUGAUGCAGCGACGCCGCGUGAGUGAAGAAGUACUUCGGUAUGUAAAGCUCUAUCAGCAGGGAAGAAAAUGACGGUACCUGAGUAAGAAGCCCCGGCUAACUACGUGCCAGCAGCCGCGGUAAUACGUAGGGGGCAAGCGUUAUCCGGAUUUACUGGGUGUAAAGGGAGCGCAGACGGUUGCGCAAGUCUGAAGUGAAAUCCCGAGGCUUAACCACGGGACUGCUUUGGAAACUGUGCGACUUGAGUAUCGGAGGGGCAGGCGGAAUUCCUAGUGUAGCGGUGAAAUGCGUAGAUAUUAGGAAGAACACCGGUGGCGAAGGCGGCCUGCUGGACGAAAACUGACGUUGAGGCUCGAAGGCGUGGGGAGCAAACAGG